rnacentral:misc_RNA from 1 species
GAUGAAGAACGCAGCGAAAUGCGAUAAGUAAUGUGAAUUGCAGAAUUCAGUGAAUCAUCGAAUCUUUGAACGCACAUUGCGCCCUCUGGUAUUCCGGGGGGCAUGCCUGUUCGAGCGUCAUUUCUGCCCUCAAGCACGGCUUGUGUGUUGGGUGUGGUCCCCCCGGGGACCUGCCCGAAAGGCAGCGGCGACGUCCGUCUGGUCCUCGAGCGUAUGGGGCUCUGUCACUCGCUCGGGAAGGACCUGCGGGGGUUGGUCACCACCAUGUUUUACCACGGUUGACCUCGGAUCAGGUAGGAGUUACCCGCUGAACUUAAGCAUAUCAAUAAGCGGAGGA